ensembl:snoRNA SNORD114-27 small nucleolar RNA, C/D box 114-27
UGGUUCAGUGGUGACUACCGAUGUCAUGUGAAUCAUAGAAAGAAUACGUGUCUGGAACUCUGAGGUCCAU